GACUGAGGAAAGAGAGAAGGA
rnacentral:miRNA from 1 species